GGGUUGUGAGGUUAAGCGACUAAGCGUACACGGUGGAUGCCCUGGCAGUCAGAGGCGAUGAAGGACGUGCUAAUCUGCGAAAAGCGUCGGUAAGGUGAUAUGAACCGUUAUAACCGGCGAUGUCCGAAUGGGGAAACCCAGUGUGAUUCGUCACACUAUCGUUAACUGAAUACAUAGGUUAACGAGGCGAACCGGGGGAACUGAAACAUCUAAGUACCCCGAGGAAAAGAAAUCAACCGAGAUUCCCCCAGUAGCGGCGAGCGAACGGGGAGCAGCCCAGAGUCUGAAUCAGCUUGUGUGUUAGUGGAACGGUCUGGAAAGUCCGACGGUACAGGGUGAUAGUCCCGUACACCAAAAUGCACAGGUUGUGAACUCGAAGAGUAGGGCGGGACACGUGGUAUCCUGUCUGAAUAUGGGGGGACCAUCCUCCAAGGCUAAAUACUCCUGACUGACCGAUAGUGAACCAGUACCGUGAGGGAAAGGCGAAAAGAACCCCGGCGAGGGGAGUGAAAAAGAACCUGAAACCGUGUACGUACAAGCAGUGGGAGCACCUUCGGGUGUGACUGCGUACCUUUUGUAUAAUGGGUCAGCGACUUAUAUUCUGUAGCAAGGUUAACCGUAUAGGGGAGCCGCAGGGAAACCGAGUCUUAACUGGGCGUUAAGUUGCAGGGUAUAGACCCGAAACCCGGUGAUCUAGCCAUGGGCAGGUUGAAGGUUGGGUAACACUAACUGGAGGACCGAACCGACUAAUGUUGAAAAAUUAGCGGAUGACUUGUGGCUGGGGGUGAAAGGCCAAUCAAACCGGGAGAUAGCUGGUUCUCCCCGAAAGCUAUUUAGGUAGCGCCUCGUGAACUCAUCUUCGGGGGUAGAGCACUGUUUCGGCUAGGGGGUCAUCCCGACUUACCAACCCGAUGCAAACUACGAAUACCGAAGAAUGUUAUCACGGGAGACACACGGCGGGUGCUAACGUCCGUCGUGAAGAGGGAAACAACCCAGACCGCCAGCUAAGGUCCCAAAGUCAUGGUUAAGUGGGAAACGAUGUGGGAAGGCACAGACAGCCAGGAUGUUGGCUUAGAAGCAGCCAUCAUUUAAAGAAAGCGUAAUAGCUCACUGGUCGAGUCGGCCUGCGCGGAAGAUGUAACGGGGCUAAACCAUGCACCGAAGCUGCGGCAGCGACACUAUGUGUUGUUGGGUAGGGGAGCGUUCUGUAAGCCUGCGAAGGUGUGCUGUGAGGCAUGCUGGAGGUAUCAGAAGUGCGAAUGCUGACAUAAGUAACGAUAAAGCGGGUGAAAAGCCCGCUCGCCGGAAGACCAAGGGUUCCUGUCCAACGUUAAUCGGGGCAGGGUGAGUCGACCCCUAAGGCGAGGCCGAAAGGCGUAGUCGAUGGGAAACAGGUUAAUAUUCCUGUACUUGGUGUUACUGCGAAGGGGGGACGGAGAAGGCUAUGUUAGCCGGGCGACGGUUGUCCCGGUUUAAGCAUGUAGGCUGGUUAUCCAGGCAAAUCCGGAUAAUCAAGGCUGAGGUGUGAUGACGAGGCACUACGGUGCUGAAGUAACAAAUGCCCUGCUUCCAGGAAAAGCCUCUAAGCAUCAGGUAACAUCAAAUCGUACCCCAAACCGACACAGGUGGUCAGGUAGAGAAUACCAAGGCGCUUGAGAGAACUCGGGUGAAGGAACUAGGCAAAAUGGUGCCGUAACUUCGGGAGAAGGCACGCUGGUGUGUAGGUGAAGUCCCUGCGGAUGGAGCUGAGACCAGUCGAAGAUACCAGCUGGCUGCAACUGUUUAUUAAAAACACAGCACUGUGCAAACACGAAAGUGGACGUAUACGGUGUGACGCCUGCCCGGUGCCGGAAGGUUAAUUGAUGGGGUUAUCCGUAAGGAGAAGCUCUUGAUCGAAGCCCCGGUAAACGGCGGCCGUAACUAUAACGGUCCUAAGGUAGCGAAAUUCCUUGUCGGGUAAGUUCCGACCUGCACGAAUGGCGUAAUGAUGGCCAGGCUGUCUCCACCCGAGACUCAGUGAAAUUGAACUCGCUGUGAAGAUGCAGUGUACCCGCGGCAAGACGGAAAGACCCCGUGAACCUUUACUAUAGCUUGACACUGAACAUUGAGCCUUGAUGUGUAGGAUAGGUGGGAGGCUUUGAAGCGUGGACGCCAGUCUGCGUGGAGCCAACCUUGAAAUACCACCCUUUAAUGUUUGAUGUUCUAACGUUGGCCCCUGACCGGGGUUGCGGACAGUGUCUGGUGGGUAGUUUGACUGGGGCGGUCUCCUCCCAAAGCGUAACGGAGGAGCACGAAGGUUAGCUAAUCCUGGUCGGACAUCAGGAGGUUAGUGCAAUGGCAUAAGCUAGCUUGACUGCGAGCGUGACGGCGCGAGCAGGUGCGAAAGCAGGUCAUAGUGAUCCGGUGGUUCUGAAUGGAAGGGCCAUCGCUCAACGGAUAAAAGGUACUCCGGGGAUAACAGGCUGAUACCGCCCAAGAGUUCAUAUCGACGGCGGUGUUUGGCACCUCGAUGUCGGCUCAUCACAUCCUGGGGCUGAAGUAGGUCCCAAGGGUAUGGCUGUUCGCCAUUUAAAGUGGUACGCGAGCUGGGUUUAGAACGUCGUGAGACAGUUCGGUCCCUAUCUGCCGUGGGCGCUGGAGAAUUGAGGGGGGCUGCUCCUAGUACGAGAGGACCGGAGUGGACGCAUCACUGGUGUUCGGGUUGUCAUGCCAAUGGCACUGCCCGGUAGCUAAAUGCGGAAGAGAUAAGUGCUGAAAGCAUCUAAGCACGAAACUUGCCCCGAGAUGAGUUCUCCCUGAGACUUUAAGUCUCCUGAAGGAACGUUGAAGACGACGACGUUGAUAGGCCGGGUGUGUAAGCGCAGCGAUGCGUUGAGCUAACCGGUACUAAUGAACCGUGAGGCUUAACCUUACAACGCCGAAG
rnacentral:rRNA from 1 species